UUAAACAACAAGCCAAAUUCGAGGGCCGCCGUUCUGGAUUUUGAUGCUGCAUAAUGAAGAUGACCGGCUGAACGGUGGAAGUAAACCCCUUGGGUAACCUGGCCCUAGAACACACGGGAUAACACUCUGACAAAGUUUUACCUAAAUACCUGGAUAAUAGAUAUUUACGGCAUCGUAGAUAUAAUCAAAAGUUGUUACGGGUAUAAGGAUGGACCCGCGUCUGAUUAGCUAGUUGGUGAGAUAACUGCCCACCAAGGCGACGAUCAGUAGCCGACCUGAGAGGGUGAUCGGCCACAUUGGAACUGAGACACGGUCCAAACUCCUACGGGAGGCAGCAUGGGGAAUAUUGCACAAUGGGCGCAAGCCUGAUGCAGCAACGCCGCGUGAACGAUGAAGGUCUUCGGAUCGUAAAGUUCUGUUGCAGGGGAAGAUAAUGACGGUACCCUGUGAGGAAGCCCCGGCUAACUACGUGCCAGCAGCCGCGGUAAUACGUAGGGGGCUAGCGUUAUCCGGAUUUACUGGGCGUAAAGGGUGCGUAGGUGGUCUUUCAAGUCGGUGGUUAAAGACUACGGCUCAACCGUAGUUAGCCUCCGAAACUGGAAGACUUGAGUGCAGGAGAGGAAAGUGGAAUUCCCAGUGUAGCGGUGAAAUGCGUAGAUAUUGGGAGGAACACCAGUAGCGAAGGCGGCUUUCUGGACUGCAACUGACACUGAGGCACGAAAGCGUGGGUAGCAAACAGGAUUAGAUACCCUGGUAGUCCACGCUGUAAACGAUGAGUACUAGGUGUCUGUGGGGUUACC
rnacentral:rRNA from 1 species